AAUAAAUUUUACUGAUCAGGGUUUGGGUUUCCCGCCUCUCCUUCUUUUUUCUUUCUUUUUUCUUUCCUUUUUCUUUCCUUUUUCCCCUUUCUAAGUUUCAU
rnacentral:ribozyme from 1 species